CCUACGGGAGGCAGCAGUGGGGAAUUUUGGACAAUGGGCGCAAGCCUGAUCCAGCAAUGCCGCGUGAGUGAAGAAGGCCUUCGGGUUGUAAAGCUCUUUUGUCAGGGAAGAAACGGUGGGGGCUAAUAUCUCCUACUAAUGACGGUACCUGAAGAAUAAGCACCGGCUAACUACGUGCCAGCAGCCGCGGUAAUACGUAGGGUGCAAGCGUUAAUCGGAAUUACUGGGCGUAAAGCGUGCGCAGGCGGUUUUGUAAGUCUGUCGUGAAAGCCCCGGGCUCAACCUGGGAAUUGCGAUGGAGACUGCAAGGCUUGAAUCUGGCAGAGGGGGGUAGAAUUCCACGUGUAGCAGUGAAAUGCGUAGAGAUGUGGAGGAACACCGAUGGCGAAGGCAGCCCCCUGGGUCAAGAUUGACGCUCAUGCACGAAAGCGUGGGGAGCAAACAGGAUUAGAUACCCUGGUAGUCCACGCCCUAAACGAUGUCUACUAGUUGUCGGGUUUUAAUUAACUUGGUAACGCAGCUAACGCGUGAAGUAGACCGCCUGGGGAGGUACGGUCGCGAAGAGUAAACGUUACGAAGUAAGUUAGAGNGNGNGAGNGCGAGACGACGACGAGGAGAGG
rnacentral:rRNA from 1 species